AGUGAACGCUGGCGGUAGGCCUAACACAUGCAAGUCGAACGGCAGCACAGUAAGAGCUUGCUCUUACGGGUGGCGAGUGGCGUACGGGUGAGGUAUACAUCGGAAUCUACUUUUUCGUGUGGUAUAACGUAGGUAAACUUACGCUAAUACCGCAUACGACCUACGGGUGAAAGCAUUGGAUCUUCGGACCUUGCGCGUUUGAAUGAGCCGAUGUCGGAUUAGCUAGUUGGCGGGGUAAAGGCCCACAAAGGCGACGAUCCGUAGCUGGACUGAGAGGAUGAUCAGACACACUGGAACGGAGACACGGUCCAGACUACUACGGGAGGCAGCAGUGGGGAAUAUUGGACAAUGGGAGAAAGCAUGAUCCAGCCAUACCGCGUGGGUGAAGAAGGACUUAGGGUUGUAAAGCCCUUUUGUUGGGAAAGAAAAGCAGCAGGUUAAUACCCAGCUGUUCUGACGGUACCAAAAGAAUAAGCACCGGCUAACUUCGUG
rnacentral:rRNA from 1 species